AUUCAAUAUAAAAAUUAAUUUGGUUCAUUGUAGAAAGUGGUUUAGCCUAUUUCUCUUUUUGAAAGAGUCUCUCUUCAAAAGGACUCUUCCCUCCCUCUCUUGCGCCAACUUCUCCCAUGUUCAUCCUCCUUUUUGUUGCCUCUUUUGUGAUUAUUUUCAUGCUAUUCAUAAAAUAAAUGAGAUAAGGGGCAUCCAAAAAUAAAUGAGAUAAGGGGCGUCCAAGAGUCGGACACCCCAAGGACUCCUUGUUAGACUAGGUCUUAUGACCUAA
rnacentral:lncRNA from 1 species